rnacentral:rRNA from 1 species
CCUACGGAGGCAGCAGUGAGGAAUAUUGGGCAAUGGACGAAAGUCUGAACCAGCCAUGCCGCGUGGAGGAUGAAGGCCUUCUGGGUUGUAAACUUCUUUUAUCGGGGAAGAAAAUUAUGGUUUCUACUAUAACCGACGGUACCCGAGGAAUCAGCACCGGCUAACUCCGUGCCAGCAGCCGCGGUAAUA